GAAAAGGAUAAGAAGAAGUAGAAAGAGUAGGUAUGAGAGAUAGAGAUAUCAGAAAGAAAAGAAAGAAAAGGGAAGAGUAGAGAAGAGGAGAAGGGAGAAAGGAAGAAGAAAGGAGAAAGAUGAGGAAACCACCACCACCAUCAUCAUGUCAUCUUCACUAUCAUCUUCACCAAACUUCAUCUUCUUCUUCUACUAGGUGAGUUCUUAGAUAGAUUUAGCCUUUGAUUUCAUGCAAUUCAGCUUGAAAGAAAGUGUAAGUUCCAAUAUUAACUAAGAAAGUUCACAAGAAUAUUCCUAAAUUAUUCCUAAAUAUAUAUCACCGCAAGUUGAUAUUCUAUGAUUUUCUCUUGAAGUUUCAUACGUGUUGCACUUAAUUCAAUUAUGAUUAGGAAAUAAUCAACUAACUUGGAUGAUUUUUUAGGUGUGGGAGAAGAUCAACAUUUGAUAUAAAAGCAUUUAAUAAUUGUAAGUUCAUGAAUUGAAGAAUACAUGUGGCCCUUAAAAGAAGAUGUCAUAUAUGUCAAUUGUUUAAUAUGAAUAAUGUCUCUAUCAAAGUUCAUUGUACCAUUUUGAAACCUAAUAUUAUUUCUUAUGUGUCAAGUUUUUUAAAAAAUUAUUAUGAUGAGUCAUGAUGAAAUGAUGGAUUUGAAAACUCCAACUUCUACUAGUAAGUUUGAAU
rnacentral:lncRNA from 1 species